UGCUAAGAUUACAUGUGUGAGCUACCAUGCCCAGCCUAAUUUUGCUUUUUAAAGCAAUGGAUUUGAAUGGAAAGCAAAUGAAAAAAACCUAGUUUCUUUAUUGCUUAUCUAUUAAGCUCUCUAUUUCUCAUCUUUUUUCCCCAACAGAGUGGGAGCUAUCCAUAAAAUGGGCAACAAUCAACAAUAACAACAGAAGUAUGUCUUCCAUGUGUUUAAUACUUUCUGGGAACAUGAAGCAGUUGAACUGUGAAGAGUCCUAAGUCUUUCUGUUGCAUCCCUCCUUUUACUCUUCCCUGGCUUCUUGCCAGCACUGGAGUCAUGUGGAAUCUCCAUGGCUCCUGAAGUUUCUCAUUUUCAACACCAGGUGGUAAAUCCUGGGCAUCCUUCUUUGAAGGCAUUUAUAAACCAAGAGGAAGUGAGAGGAGGAUCCUGUUGAAGGCUGGAAUGAAAGUCUUUAGGUUCCAGAGCAGCUUUUAGUUUGAAGGAAAUUUAGUCACCCCUUCAAAUGUCAUCAGGAGUAGAUUCCAUGUGAUGGCAACUCACUAACUCUAUUGAAAAUAAAGUAAACACAAUGGAAAGAAAGCAAACAGCUCUUGAUGAUCAACUUUCAUGACCUUUAAGAUGUAAAAGAAACUUUUUAAAAGAACUCUACUUAAUGUAGAGAGAUAUUAUCUUUAUCUUUGACAGGAAGGAAAUGACAUAGUAGUCUCUAUCUUCCAUGGUGAGUAGCUGAGGAGAUAAGGUAUGUAAAGUUCUGUGGGUCUAUAAAAUGCUGUAGAAAUGUUACUUGUUAAAGAGCCAGGAAAUCUAUAGAAUAUAUUCAGCUUUCCUGUGAUUCUAGUUUCCAUGAAUUCUUUUCCUGUUUUUUUCCUUCUUUCUCCUGAAUUGUCCCUGAAUAAAUUAAAUAGCCUUACAAAGCUUCCUGAUCCUAAGGAAUUCUUAACAUGCUAACAUGUGGGGGACCACAAAUUUAACACAAUACAGCAACAUGGAUGCCUGUCUAGCUCUGUUCUCGUCUUCCUCAUGGGCCCUCAAUUCAGUUUACAUAUAGUCUAAUACAUUAAUCAUAAGACAACUUGACUUCUUUGUUCAUUCAGUAAAACCUUUCUUCAGGGACUGCUAUGUGUGAGACACUCUCCUAGGGGCAGGGAAUUUAAAAUGGACCAAUGAAGAGCAAUCUGCUAUCAUGGUGCUUAUUUUCUGAUGGUCAGCUUGUUACUUUUGUUGUUGUUGUUGUUGUUUUUUGAGACGGGGUCUCCCUCUGUCACCUCUGUCACCCAGGCUGGAGUGCAGUGGCAUGAUCUCGGCUCACUGCAGCCUUGACCUCCCAGGUUCAAGUGAUCCUCCCACCUCAGCCUCCUGAGUAGCUGGGACCACAGGUGUGCACCAUCAUGCCAACUAUUUUUUUUUUUUACUUUUUGUAGAAAUGAGGUCUACCUAUGUUGUCCAGGCUGGGCUCUAACCCCUGGGUUCAAGCAAUCCUCCCUCCUGGGCCUGCCAAAGUGCUAGAAUUAUAUGCGUGAGCUACCUUGCCUUGGCAGGUACUUAUUCUUACACCUUUUAGGAAAUAUUAAGUCUUAGAUAAAAUACUCAGUUUCUUAGAUGACUUCUCCUUCUCUGCUUCUUUCCCUAAAAUUACUUUCUGGUAUGGUAUAUGAGUAGAGGGUAUGUGCCUACAUGGCCUCAUGAUGGAGGUAAAGAUUUGAUGUUUUCAUACGUUGACUUCUGGUAUCUAGUGUGAUGUCCCUUGUCUACUCAGUGAGAACGAUGGAUAAGUCAGCAGGCAGUUACAAUACAGUGCGGUUAGCACUGUGAUAGGGACAUUAUGACAUGGUUACCACAUCGCACAACUCCAGCAGCACCAUUGCCAUAGACCAUGAUGUAAAUAAUGCUCCCCUGAGUGUUUCAGUGCAUGAUUUCAGCACUUAUAUGUGGAAAGCCUGAGAAAAGCACAAAAGUGGACCAUUCAGACUUGGAAAUUAAAAGAAACAAUAUAUAUGGUCGCCCCUUGGUAUCUACAGUGGGGGAUGGUGGGGCAGGAUUGGUUCCCAGACUCCUGCAGAUCCUCAAGUCUUUUAUAGAAAAUGGCAUAAUAUUUGCAUAAAUAUAGCCUAUGCAUAUCUUCCUGUAUACCUUAAGUCAUCUCUAGAUUCGUUAUAAUACCUAAUUCAAUGUAAAUGCUUUUUUAAAUAGUUGUUUUACUGUGUUGCUUAAAAAUUUGUUUUUUAUUGUUGUGUUGUAAUUUUUCUAUUGUCUUCCUGAAUAUUUUCAGUCUGCAGUUGGUUGAAUCCAUGGGUGUGGAACCUUGAAUUCAGAGGGCUAACUGUAUAGUGAGACCUAAAGAUAUUGGCAGAAAUUGGCUGUAUGAAGGUGGAGGAGGGCUCUGAAUUGCUCUAGGGAUCUCAGCAGAGGUUGGAGGAACAAGCUCCACCCUGGCAUAGUAUCAAGGGCUUCAAAUCAAGGCUUCAAGUAAGUCACAUCAGUGUUCACCAGCACCAGGGCCUUCUCCACAAUGUUACAGACAAAUUGGGAUAGAAAAUCUGUUGCCCUAAACAGCUGGCUGAAUCUGUUUGUCUUUUGGAUCAAAGUAUUCCAACAAUUUGAUAAAAGCUACUAAAAAAUAUAAAUAUACAAAACAUAUUUUGUAAAUGGGGUAUUAUGUAUUUCUGAAAGUGGGAGGAAUCGGUGGUAGUUUCCACUCACCCACCUUCAUUACAUACAUGUAUAAUAAAGCAACAUACAACAUUAAAUUGUGUGUUUUAGACAUUUUAUAAAUGGUAUUAUGCUGUCCUUAUUACUCUGUGCCUUGGUUUUUCUCACUGAUUUAAUCACUUAAACACACAUGAAUCUAAUUCAUUUAUUUACCUGCAUUAUGAUAUUCCAUGUAAAAAUAAGACACCUCUCAUUUAAUCUCUUGUUGAUAGACAUUUACAUUAUGUCUAAUAUACCGUUUGUAUUAAGAAGCUACAAUGAGCAUCCCUGUAUUUUGUUCUUUGUGCACUUGUGCAAGAGUUUAUCCAAAAUAUAUACAGUAGUCCCUUCUUAUCUGUGGGUAAUACAUUCCAAGAACCCCAGUGGAUGUCUGAAACCUUGAAUACUAUUUAACUCUAUAUAUACUACUUACGGUAUUUCCUAUGUAUACAUACCUAGGAUAAAAUUUCUUUUAUAAAUUAGGCACAGUAAGAGAUCAACAAUAAUAACUAAUAAUAGAACAAUCAUAGCAAUAUACUGUAAUAAAAGUGUAUUUUUAUACACUUAUACUCUCUCUCUCAAAAUAUCUCAUUGUACUGUGCUUGGCUAUAUUUGGUCUGCAGUUGACUGGAGGUAACUGAAACUGUAGAAAGUGAAUCCAAGGGUAAGAGGAGACUACUGUACUUAGCAGCUGCUAAGUCAAACAAUUUUUAAAACAUAUUACGUAUGUCUAAAUUGCCUUCCUAAGUUAUUCAACCAACUUAUCCUCCAAUCAAUAUUAUGUGAGAUUUACUCCACAUUCUCUUCAACACUUGGCAUUAUCAGACUUCCACAUUUUUGCCAGUCUAAUGAAUAUGAAAUGCUGUUAUUAUUGUCUUAACUUGAAUGUUUCCAUUCAUUUCUGAGCAUUUUUUUCUUUUGUUUGUUGGUCACUUAGAUACCCUAGUCUCUAAAUUUUAUAUGCUUUGCCCAUUUAUUGAUUUGGUGCUUUGUAUUUUUCGUAUUGAUUGACCUAAACUCUUUAUAUAUUAUAUAUAAUAAUCCCAUUCCUUAUACAUCAAGCAAACAUAUCUUUCCAUUCCGUGCUUAUCUUUUAUUUUAUAACUUUGUUAAAGUAAAUCAAUUUUUGUUUUAUGUUACUGUUUUUUAAAGUCCUUCCUAAGAAAUCUUUCCUAUAACAAAAGAUCAUAAAUAUAUUCUCCUAAGUUUUCUUUUAGAUACUAUAUUUUUUGUUGUUGUUGCGAUAGAGUCUCAUUCUGUCACCCAGGCUGGAGGGCAGUGGUGUGAUCUCAGCUCACUGCAACAUCUGCCUCCUGAGCUCAAGUGAUUAUCCUGCCUCAGCCUCCUGAGUAGGUGGGAUUAGAGGUGCGCGCCACCACACCCAGCUAAUUUUAUAUUUUUAGUAGAGACAAGGCUUUGCCAUGUUGGCCAGGGUGGUAUUGAACUCCUAACCUUAGGUAAUUUGCCUGCCUCAGCCUCCCAAACUGCUGGCAUUACAGGUGUAAGCCACCGUGCCCAGCCACUUUUACAUACUAUUAAAUUUUUGCUUUUAAGUUUGGGUCUUUAGCCACCUGGAAUUUCUUUGUGAGUUGAAGAGUAAGUUUUUUUUCCAUAAUAAGAACAAAAGUUUAAAUAUUUUAAAAUAAUCUGGCUAUGUAUUAUAAUGCCAUUUCUGUCACAUGGCAAGCUUCCAUAUAUGCAGGGCUCUCCAUUAUGUUCCAUUGUUCUUUUUAUUUAUCCCUCUGUCACUACCAUGCUUGUAAUUAUUAUAACUUUAUGAUAAGCUCUGAUAUUAUAUAUAGGGCUUAUUGUUGCAAAUUCUUCCUUCUCUUCCAAAAUAUACUGGUUAUUCUUGGCCUUUUGUAUUUUCAUGCCACUCUGUGAUUAUCUCAUUAAAUUUCAUGAAAUUCCUACUGGGCAGAGUACAUUGAAUUUAUAUACGAAUGUGGGUAUAACUAUAUUAUUUAUUUAAUUUAAAACCUUUUGAAUAAAUACAUAUUUGAAAAACAAGAAGUGCUCUAUUUUACUGGUCUGUGCUAUCAUUCUGGCGGAGGGGAUAGAUCAUUUAUUUUUAUACAAAUAGCACAAUAACCAGCAGAUGCAGAAUAAAUGUUCCUUGAUUAACUAAUUGAAAGAAUGUAUAAAGUAAUAAAUAUAAACUUCUUUAUGAUCUUGUUAAU
rnacentral:lncRNA from 10 species